rnacentral:rRNA from 2 species
ACGGCGAGUGAGCGGCAACAGCUCAAAUUUGAAAUCUGGCGUCUUCGGCGUCCGAGUUGUAAUUUGCAGAGGGUGUCUCGGGUGGAGCGCCGGUCCAAGUGCCUUGGAACAGGAUACCGCAGAGGGUGAGAGUCCCGUAUCCGGCCGGUCGCGUCCCCCGCUGUGAGACCCCUUCGACGAGUCGAGUUGUUUGGGAAUGCAGCUCUAAAUGGGUGGUAAAUUCCAUCUAAAGCUAAAUACCGGCCAGAGACCGAUAGCGCACAAGUAGAGUGAUCGAAAGAUGAAAAGCACUUUGAAAAGAGAGUGAAACAGUACGUGAAAUUGUUGAAAGGGAAGCGUAUGUGGGCAGACUUGGCCGCGGGUGUUCAGCCUGUCUUCUGACUGGUGCACUCGCCCGCGGACAGGCCAGCAUCGGUCCGGGCGGUCGGAGAAAGGCGCUGGGAACGUGGCUCCCCUCGGGGAGUGUUAUAGCCCGGCGUGCAAUGCGGCCAGCGCGGACCGAGGAACGCGAUUUAUCACGGAUGCUGGCGUAAUGGCCUCAUACGGCCCGUCUUGA